rnacentral:misc_RNA from 1 species
UUUCCGUAGGUGAACCUGCGGAAGGAUCAUUAAUGAAUUUGAAAGGAGUUGUUGCUGGCUUGUAAACACAAGCAUGUGCACACUCCAAUCUCAUCCAUCUUACACCUGUGCACCCUUGCGUGGGUCCGUCGGCUUUGCGGUCGUUCGGGCUUGCGCUUUUCUAUAAACUCUUAUGUAUGUAACAGAAUGUCUUAAUGCUAUAAACGCGUCUUAUACGACUUUCAACAACGGAUCUCUUGGCUCUC